UCUCGGGUGACGAGCGGCGGACGGGUGAGUAAUGUCUGGGAAACUGCCUGAUGGAGGGGGAUAACUACUGGAAACGGUAGCUAAUACCGCAUAAUGUCGCAGGACCAAAGUGGGGGACCUUCGGGCCUCAUGCCAUCAGAUGUGCCCAGAUGGGAUUAGCUAGUAGGUGGGGUAACGGCUCACCUAGGCGACGAUCCCUAGCUGGUCUGAGAGGAUGACCAGCCACACUGGAACUGAGACACGGUCCAGACUCCUACGGGAGGCAGCAGUGGGGAAUAUUGCACAAUGGGCGCAAGCCUGAUGCAGCCAUGCCGCGUGUGUGAAGAAGGCCUUCGGGUUGUAAAGCACUUUCAGCGGGGAGGAAGGCGUUAAGGUUAAUAACCUUGGCGAUUGACGUUACCCGCAGAAGAAGCACCGGCUAACUCCGUGCCAGCAGCCGCGGUAAUACGGAGGGUGCAAGCGUUAAUCGGAAUUACUGGGCGUAAAGCGCACGCAGGCGGUCUGUCAAGUCGGAUGUGAAAUCCCCGGGCUCAACCUGGGAACUGCAUUCGAAACUGGCAGGCUAGAGUCUUGUAGAGGGGGGUAGAAUUCCAGGUGUAGCGGUGAAAUGCGUAGAGAUCUGGAGGAAUACCGGUGGCGAAGGCGGCCCCCUGGACAAAGACUGACGCUCAGGUGCGAAAGCGUGGGGAGCAAACAGGAUUAGAUANCCUGGUAGUCCACGCCGUAAACGAUGUCGAUUUGGAGGUUGUGCCCUUGAGGCGUGG
rnacentral:rRNA from 1 species